rnacentral:misc_RNA from 1 species
UUCUCUGUGCGUUUAGACCUGCCAUCAGCGUAAUAUACCCCCCCCCCCUACCCCGACCUUCUCCUGUUCCUUGUAGUCAUUUGCGUGUAUCCUGCCGCGAAUUACUUUGGCGCCGCACUCUGUUGCUCCUACCUAGCCCUCGCCCGCCCGCCUCUCUCUCAGCUGCGCUGUGGUUCUGUGACUGUGUUUGAGCACCUGCAGGCCGACAUACCCACACACAAGCGCCGACACGCACCUCCUUGCACCCUACUCCAUACACGCUGAGAAGAUGCAGCCGAAGCAGAAGGCAGCUCUUGGCAUCAACGGCACCCGCACCAGCGGCAUCGCCGUUCGCCGCGAGAACGUGACGGCCGCGUUGGCCGUGGCAAAUGUCGUGAAGUCGUCGCUGGGCCCUAUCGGUCUGGACAAGAUGCUUGUGGACGACGUCGGUGAUGUGCUGGUGACGAACGACGGUGCGACGAUCCUGAAGAGUCUCGACGUGGAGCACCCAGCCGCGCGCCUACUGGUUGAUCUGGCCCAGCUCCAGGACAAGGAGAUUGGCGACGGAACCACCUCUGUCGUGAUUCUUGCUGCGGAGCUGCUGAAGCGGGCCCAGGAACUCGUGUCGCAGGGCAUCCACGCGACAAGCAUCAUUGCCGGCUACAAGCUUGCCAUGCGCGAGGCACUGCGCUACCUAAACGACAAUCUCAGCUGCGCCGUGGACAGUCUGGCAAGGAUGUGCUGCUGAACGUCGCGCGCACCUCCAUGUCGAGCAAGAUUCUGAACAACGACGCGGAUCUGUUUGCGAAGAUCGUGGUUGAUGCUAUCAUGUCUGUCAAGACGGUGAACGACUUUGGUGAUGUCAUCUACCCUCGUAAGGCGGUGUCGAUUCUGCUGCAGCACGGCAGGAGCCUGCACGAGUCACGGCUGGUGCAGGGCUUUGCGAUGAACCUCUCUCGCGCCGCACAGGGCAUGCCGACCUCGGUGAAGGAUGCUAAGAUUGCUCUCGUCGACUUCGAUCUGCGGGCUGUCAAGAUGAAGCUCGGCAUCAACAUCACCAUCACGGACCCCUCCAAGGCAGAGGCGAUCCGCCAGCGUGAGCUCGACAUCACGAAGGAGCGCAUUCAGAAGAUGAUCGCGGCCGGCGCCAACGUCAUUAUGACGACGUGGGGCAUCGAGGAUAGCAUGAUGAAGUACAUGGUGGACAACAACGUGCUUGGCGUGCGCCGUGUCAAGAAGGAUGACAUCCGCCGCAUCGCCAGGACUACCGGCGCGCAGGUGGUGCACACCAUGUCCGACCUCGAGGGCGAGGAGGUCUUCGACCCCAAGUGGCUCGGUCGGUCGGAGAAGGUGUACGAGGAGCGCAUUGGCGACGAUGACUGCAUCGUUAUUGCUGGCACCUCGAACGCCGUGUGUGCCACCAUCGUCUGCCGCGGCGCGAACUACUUCAUGCUAGAGGAGAUGGAGCGCGCGCUGAACGACGCACUGUGGGCUGUGGCGCGCACGUGUGACGCCAGCUGCGUCGUUGCUGGCGGCGGCUCCGUGGAGACGGCGGUGUCGGUGUACCUGGACAACUUUGCCCGCACACUGAGCUCACGCGAGCAGCUGGCGGUGGCCGAGUACGCCGAGGCACUGCUCGUCAUACCGAAGGUGCUGGCGCUGAAUGCUGCCCUCGAUGCCACGGACCUCGUUGCGAAGCUUCGUGUCGAGCACACGCAGGCACAGAGCAGCGGCCAGCAGACGGAGGCGCGCUUUACCGGACUGGAUCUGCACAACGGCACGCUACGCAACAACAUCAAGGCGGGUGUGCUGGAGCCAAAGCCUAGCAAGAUCAAGUCCCUGCAGUUCGCGACGGAGGCGGCUGUGACGGUGCUGCGUAUCGACGACUGCGUUCGCCUCAACCCUGAUGAGGAGGACCAGCAGCGCUGAAGACCGCUUUUCCCACCGAUUAUGAGAGUCGGACGAGAUUUAGCGAGCAGCAGCAGACGCCGGAUACCAAGACGACGCGCGGAGGUCGAGAGCGCGUCCACAUAGAUUGUCGCUUGUCAAGUGAGAACGAAGAAGUCGGUCCAAAGGCUGCCGUGCGCAUAGGCAUGCCUAUCCGCACGCGUUGACGUCUCUCUGACAGUAUCUGUGUUCUCCCUACUCUUGUCGCUUUCCAGCGCACGUGCCUGCGGUUCUUUCUCUCUGCUUGUGUGCCCGUGUCGUUCCGCUCUUGCUGCAUUGUCACGCCGUCUCCUUUUUCUUUGAUUGCCGAGUCGUUGUAGCCCUCCUUCCUUCUCUGUCGACCUUCUCUUCCUCAUCGCCGGCACAUUUGCCUCUGCUUCGCUCCGGGUGCGUACUCGCGCGCGCGUGCGAGUGUGCGUGCGCUUCGCCAAGACGGAUCCUGCAAUAAGGCAGCGGAUGCCGUGCUGUUUGAAGGACUGAGCUAUGCGGACGGCAGCGGGUAGAGGAGGUGGCAGAAAAGAGCUGCGACGACAAGGGGUGGAGAAAGGCCGAUUCUAAACCGCACCGCACAGAUGGAGGGAGGGAGGGAGAGCGAGGAGGUGAGGCGAGGUGUUUCCGUGUGCUCGUGGCGUUUUUUCCACGUUGCCGACGUGUUUUCGGCGUUUCCGUUGCCGUAUCCAUCUCGAGUGUCUCUCCCCGUCGCGUUCUCUGAGCGUGACUGUCUGUCGGUCUGUCUAUAUUCCCCUCCAGUACCACAACCGCUUUGGGCUGCAAGAGGGAUGCGGCGAAAAGGUGCGCAAGCAUGCGCACAUCCGCACGCACCUGUAAGAGCACGAACUCUGACGGCGGGCGACAGAGACUCGUCGUAGGUGUUUGUUCGAUUCACGCAUAUGCAGAUUGGAGAGGAGAGGUGUAAGGAACGAAAAGAAGUGGGGGAAGGGGCGUGGCGUGUGGCGCGGAGGGGGAGGCGAGGUGCAGCUCAAUGUGUCAGGCGCCCACAUGCCGAACACGCAAGGCAAAUGACAACGCGAGCGCACGUGUGAGAGAAAGCGACAAUCAGAUGCGCGUGUGCGUGCGCGCGUGUCUUCACCUACGAGGACGUUUUUAAUUUUCGUUCUUUCCUGCGUCGCGUGGCGAUCUCGAGAACGGCGGAUGGGGAUGGACGUGAAAGAGGAACUACAACCUGGUGCUCGUGCUGGCGCGCGCGCGUGUGAGUGUGCUCUCUUUCCUUUUCGAUGCUAUCGCAAAUCGUCGAUGCACCACCAUGUAGUGCGCUUGAACCGCCACUCCUCUUUCCUUUCUUUGGCCGUGCGGGUGGUCUCCGUUGGUGCGUGUGUGUUAAGUAAAGGGCAAACAGAGAAUGAAGGAGCGAAAAGGCAAACGCCGCCACCCACCUUUAAAGCAAAAAAAAAAACAAAAUACCGUGCGUGUCCAUGCAGCCCACAUCCACCUCUACCCACGCGUAUGUGUGUGCAAGUGGCUAUUCAGGUGACUGAUUGGCGCGCAGGUCUUCGAAAGCGCACGCCACUG